GACGUAGGAGGCGAGCGUUGUCCGGAUUCAUUGGGCGUAAAGAGCACGCAGGCGGUUUGGCAAGUCGGACGUGAAAAUCCGGGGCUCAACCCCGGACCUGCAUCCGAAACUGCCCGACUAGAGGUAGGUAGGGGAGAUCGGAAUUCCUGGUGUAGCGGUGAAAUGCGCAGAUAUCAGGAGGAACACCGGUGGCGAAGGCGGGUCUCUGGGCCGAUACUGACGCUGAGGAGCGAAAGCGUGGGGAGCGAACAGG
rnacentral:rRNA from 1 species